CCAUGCAAGACACUGGCCUGACCAUUGGGAGCAAUACAGGGUUCAGUGUCUUACCCAAGAGUACUUGUUCUUUCAUUUUUAAACUAAGCUGUAGAUGCCUAUACAGGAGGUAAGUUAACAAUGACAGCAUUAACUUGCAAAAAAUAAUAAUUACUAACAUUAAGAAAAGUCCCCAGCUAAUUAUCUUCUUUUCAUAUUCUAUUAGACUCAACAUUCAGGAUUUCCUUGACGACAGAGAAGCCGUGUUUACUCCGGACCAGAUGAGAAGGAUGGAUGACCACAGGACCAGCAGGAGAGCGGCGGCCGCCUUUCUUUCAGUCGGCUAAGACAGGACUCCUCUGUGUUUUUGGCACACCCCGGGCAGCUGAGAGUAGACGUCUACCAACCAAUCAUCCCAGGCAGACCCAGCCCGGGGGCCACAGCAGACCACUGACCCAACUCUCAGUACUCUACCUGCUUCCAGGGACCAAGCCCUGUCUGAAGACCCAGUGAGGACAGUUCCACCCCGACCCCCGCCAACACCACCUUCACCUGCCAAGAGGAUGAGGACCGCCCCAGCCCGACUAGCACAGAGGACGUUGUUACCGUCUGCUUCUUCUUCUUCUGUGCUGGUGGGUCUGGGAUGCUCCUCACACACACAGGAAGCUGUCACCACAGACACUUGAGACUGAAUGAAAAAGAUUCUAAAAGUAAUUAGUUCGUACAAUAUGUAAACUGUUUAUCUCUGAAUAGUGCAAUGCAAUACUGUAAGUGUAAGACAAGCCUUCUAAAUAUUUCUUAUUAUGUAUACACAAUAUCAUAUACUUCCAUGUAUCAUUCAGAAAUAUGAUUGUGUGACUCUGAAAUAAAAUAUUGUGCAAAUGAUGA